GAAGAGAAGGGAAAACUGAAGUUCCCCAUUGUUCCCGUUUGAGAAAACUGGGAUUUAGGAAACCAUGUGAUUCGACGUGAGCUAGAGACUUUGGGGGAUGUCAGGAGGGGAUCUAUACAUUAACCUCCACAGGUAGGAUAUACAGGUGACCAUCAGGAGGAGAGGUGGCCUAAAGUGGCUGUCUCCAGCAAGUGGGAGAUCUGGGCCUUGCUGGAUGAAGAGGAGGAGAAGGAAGCCUUGGUGCAGAGUCUCAGAAGGAAGAUUUUCAUGUUAGAGGCACCGUCAGCAGUCUGUCACCAUAGAAAGACAGACAGAGGCAGAGGAGAGAGAAGUUUCCCCUCGCAUGUUCUACUGAGGCUCCCCAGCUCAGGAGGCAGUGAUGAGAGCUUUCUGCAGCAAGGCCUCCCGGAGAAGAGCCUGUCUCUCUUCCCUGGUGGAGCAGGAGUGGCCCUGUCAGGAGCUCCCGCUGCAUCUGGCACAGAGCAGGCACUCCAUAAAGGCCAUGUGAGUGAAUGAAUGGAUGAAUGAGAAAAAGAAACAGAGAUGUAUCCUUUAAGGGGAAACCUGCCUCCGAGAACCUGAUUCAGGAUAUCCUCUCCAGAGAUCGCUUUUGGGUGCUGCUUCUCCUCCUGCUGUCCUCAGUGCUACUAAGUAAGGAGUUCCUCGAGAUGGGUGCCACCUGCCCAGCCUCCUGAAGAUUUCUUCAUUGCUGUUCGCCUGCGGCUUUUCUGAUAAAGACAUGUUGCCAGCAAUGAAUGGCUUGUCCCCAGAUCUGACACUUGCCCUGGACUUCUUCCUCCUACCUCCUUCCUUAUACUGGCCCACUAGUAAGCCCCCAAGCACUGACCAACCCAGGACAAGUGGUUUGCCCAGUUACCAUAGAUGCAUCAUGGGCAGUCCAGGCUGACUUUUCUUCAUCAGGGAAUUUCAUUUUGCCAACAGAGCUGGACUGGGAAGAGACUGGAUCAAGGGUUUGGGCUGUGUCUCCCCAGGCUACCAUCUUGGGAGGGCCAGUGGCAGAUGCCAGGAGCUGGCUGGCAUCAGGGUGCAAUCUGGUAGCCACAGAAGAGACCCUCAUCCUUGGAGGGUCUGUGAGCCCACAGACAGCUGCUUGGCUUGGCUUGACUUGGCUGGGAGCAUUUCAGCAGAGAUGAGCGGGAAAUGGAUGGCUGGUUGAGAGCAGACAGCGAGAGGGGAAAAAAGGGUCUUCAGAGCUGAAAUGAGAUAUGUGUGAGCCCCUAUCUACAAAAGGGCAAGACUGGCUUUGGACAAUGUUGCCGGCAAACUUGAAUCAAGUUUCAUUUUUGCCUGAAGCUCCAGGGGAAGAUGAGGGUGGAAGACACCUGCCAGCGCUGCUCUCCACGUGAAAGGGAAGAUGAAAAGGAGCAAAUGGCCGGGAGGGCCAGGUGGAUGCGGUAAUGAGACAGAGGAUGUGAGGUCAGGAUGUGAGAGGGAAAGUCACGGCUGGGGAUGGCUGGGGACGGGGUGCUGCCAAGGAUGGGAACUAUGGCAGCAGUUCUCGGACUUUUCCAUGUGUGUGCUCCUGGCCCACUGCCCUCUACGUGGAUUCGUGAGAUCAAGAAGCAAAAGUAAGGGAAGAAGGACUUUUCAGCAGAAAUUUCCCAUAAACAAAGACUUGCUCCCACCAGCAGAGGUGCAGCAGGGGGGGGGCACUUGCCACUCCUCCCUGCCUCAGAACCAUGACUUUCUCACUCAGAGAUGUCCAUCUGUCCAGCCAUUUCGCCAAGCCCUGGAGCCCCAUGCUGAUUUCCUUUGGAAGAGCCCCAGCUCCUGGGGUGACCUCAGCAGCAGCAGGGCCCACGGAUGGCUCCAAUUCCAAACUUCCCAUCCUGGGCAAGGAUCCACCUGGUCUGUGGAAGUUAAAAUAACACACUGGCUGUUUAUGAG